rnacentral:rRNA from 1 species
GACGAACGCUGGCGGCGUGCUUAACACAUGCAAGUCGAACGGAAAGGCCCUGCUUGCAGGGUGCUCGAGUGGCGAACGGGUGAGUAACACGGGGGUGAUCUGCCCCUUACUUUGGGAUAAGCCUGGGAAACUGGGUCUAAUACUGGAUAGGACCAUGCUGUAGGGGGUGUGGUGGAAAGAUUAGUUUCGGUAAGGGAUGAGCUCGCGGCCUAUCAGCUUGUUGGUGGGGUAGUGGCCUACCAAGGCGUCGACGGGUAGCCGGCCUGAGAGGGUGGGCGGCCACAUUGGGACUGCGAUACGGCCCAGACUCCUACGGGAGGCAGCAGUGGGGAAUAUUGCACAAUAGGCGCAAGCCUGAUGCAGCGACGCCGCGUGGGGGAUGACGGCCUUCGGGUUGUAAACUCCUUUCAGCCAUGACGAAGCCCUUGUGGUGACGGUAGUGGUAGAAGAAGCACCGGCUAACUACGUG